rnacentral:rRNA from 1 species
GACGAACGCUGGCGGCGUGCUUAACACAUGCAAGUCGAGCGGUAAGGCCCUUUCGGGGGUACGACGAGCGGCGAACGGGUGAGUAACACGUGGGUGACCUGCCCUCAGCUCUGGGAGUAAGCCUGGGAAACCGGGGUACUAAUACUGGAUAUGACUCCAUGACGCAUGUUGUGGGGUGGAAAGCCUUGUGCGGCUGAGGAUGGGCCCGCGGCCUAUCAGCUUGUUGGUGGGGUGAGGCCUACCAAGGCGACGACGGGUAGCCGGCC